GACGAACGCUGGCGGCGUGCUUAACACAUGCAAGUCGAGCGGUAAGGCCUUUCGGGGUACACGAGCGGCGAACGGGUGAGUAACACGUGGGUGACCUGCCUUUAGCUUCGGGAUAAGCCUGGGAAACUGGGUCUAAUACCGGAUAUGACCUCAUGUCGCAUGGUGUGGGGUGGAAAGUUUUUUCGGCUAGAGAUGGGCCCGCGGCCUAUCAGCUUGUUGGUGGGUGAUGGCCUACCAAGGCGACGACGGUAGCCGGCCUGAGAGGCGACCGGCCACACUGGGACUGAGAUACGG
rnacentral:rRNA from 1 species